GUUGUCCAUGCCUGGUGUGGAACACGUAUAAAGUUUAGUAGAUCAGGUUACGGGAAAGUACAUCCUGGCUAUUACCAUGAGAUGACAGCGGUGGGAGACAGUAAAUGGGCUGCCAUCAGGGGAAACUGCCAGUACUGGAGUCCCGGGCCGUGACAGAGAGGGGGCACAGCAGGAAUUCCUGUUGCUGUGCAAUAAAGUUUGUUUUUGCUGUCCAGAAUGACAUGAAGAGAGUGGAGUAGCCAUGCCGUCAAGCAGAACAGAAGACGAAAGUCCAGCUUAGGGUUCUACUGUGCAUGUAUAGCCCGGCGUAACCCAGGAGACGGUGAAGCAGUAAGGUGACAGGAGAUUUUCUAUUGCUGUGAUAAGUUCUAUCGCUUACUCAUAAACAGAAGUAAAGUGUUCAUUAAUGCGAUGACUUUACUUCCGGGUUCAGGAUCUGGUGGCGCAGACUGCGCUUGUGCCAUUGCCAGGGAUCUUCCGGAAACUUUAGCAAAAUGUCACCCUUAGGCUACAAUGGCUUCUAGGGCAAAACUCCAGAAUGCGAAGAAGAAAUUUGGCAUUGUAGCAGCCCCUAUAGAAAUCUACUGGGUCUGCUCUUGUGGUUCUCAGGGGGUAAUUCAGACCUGAUUGCUAGGCUGUGUUUUCGUACAGUGGGCGAUAAGUCCUAAACUGCACAUGCGUAUGCACCGCAAUGCGUAUAUGCGACGCACGGGUACAAAUCAGAUCCCCGCUCAGUGAUGGGUUUGUGCGAAGAAUCCAUUCGCACGGGCGUUCGCAAGGAGAUUGAUAGGAAGAGGGCGUUUGUGGGUGGCGAUUGACCGUUUUCAGGGAGUUGUUGGAAAAACGCAGGCAUGUCCACGCGUGUGCAGGGAGGGUUCAUGAUGUCAAUUCCGGUCCCGGACAGGCUGAUGUGAUCGCAGCGGCUGAGUAAGUCCUGGGCUGCGCAGAGACUGCACAAGAUCUGUUUGUACAGCUCUGCUACACAUGCGUUCGCACACUUGCACAGCGAAAAUACACUCCCUUAUGGGCGGUGACUGUCUGAUCGCAGCAGUGCAAAAAUCGCUUGAUAGUGAUCAGGUCUGAAUUACCACCUCAGUUCUUUAGCAGAAAUUGUACCUUACACCAUUCACAAGCCAAGGAAAUUACUUACUAGUCAUUUCACAGUAAAGAUUCUUAAUUAAAACUUCUGAUGGGUCAGGAAAAUAAAACCCAAUGUCGGGAGAUAUAGCAGUGAAACAAAUGCAUGUUACGAUGAUAUCUGGUGCAAUGAAUUCAUUAAAUGUUGGCAAAUUACUUUGGCCACA